rnacentral:rRNA from 1 species
GAUGAACGCUAGCUACAGGCUUAACACAUGCAAGUCGCGGGGCAGCAUGGGGGUUGCUUGCAAUCCCCGAUGGCGACCGGCGCACGGGUGAGUAACGCGUAUCCAACCUGCCCUUCACCACGGGAUAACCCGGCGAAAGUCGGACUAAUACCGUAUGUUGUCCAUUGACGGCAUCCGAUUUGGACGAAAGGCUUGGCGGUGAGGGAUGGGGAUGCGUCCGAUUAGCCAGACGGCGGGGUAACGGCCCACCGUGGCUACGAUCGGUAGGGGUUCUGAGAGGAAGGUCCCCCACACUGGAACUGAGACACGGUCCAGACUCCUACGGGAGGCAGCAGUGAGGAAUAUUGGUCAAUGGGCGUAAGCCUGAACCAGCCAAGUAGCGUGCAGGAUGACGGCCCUAUGGGUUGUAAACUGCUUUUAUGCGGGGAUAAGGUGGCCCACGUGUGGGCUUUUGCAGGUACCGCAUGAAUAAGGACCGGCUAAUUCCGUG